rnacentral:rRNA from 1 species
GCCAACGCCGAUUUCAUAUUCAAUGUACCAGUUCCCAGUGGAUCACCGAAGUUAAGCAAUGUUGCGCGUGGUUAGUGUCCGGACGGGUGACCAUCUGGACCGUUGUGUGCUGCUAGUU